GUAGGGAAUAUUGGGCAAUGGUCGGAAGACUGACCCAGCCAUGCCGCGUGCAGGAAGACGGCCCUCUGGGUUGUAAACUGCUUUUAUCUGGGAAGAAAAAGGCCAUGCGUGGCAAAUUGCCGGUACCAGAUGAAUAAGCACCGGCUAACUCCGUGCCAGCAGCCGCGGUAAUACGGAGGGUGCGAGCGUUGUCCGGAUUUAUUGGGUUUAAAGGGUGCGUAGGCGGCUGAUUAAGUCAGCGGUGAAAGACUUCGGCUUAACCGGAGCAGUGCCGUUGAUACUGGUUGGCUUGAGUGUCGGAGGGGUACAUGGAAUUGAUGGUGUAGCUGUGAAAUGCAUAGAUACCCUCAGGAACACCGAUAGCGAAGGCAUUGUACUGGCCGACAACUGACGCUGAUGCACGAAAGUGUGGGGAUCGAACAGGAUUAGAAACCCCGGUAGUCC
rnacentral:rRNA from 1 species